AAAAGUGAGAAAGCGUGAUCUUCAGUGUGUGCUGCACGAGCAGUGGUGUGGACCCAGAGUUCAGGCAUAGGCGAAGAACGGACACGGAUUUCACACUCCUGAUAGGUGUGUAAGUGAACUCUGAGUUGCACUUUGAUUCUGUGUUAGCCCUUCUGUACACAGGCUCCUUUUUCAAAGUAGGCCUCUCACUGAACUUCCUCUGGUAACAUCUGGUUGGCACCGUGUCCACGCAUGCUCAGUCGCUCUAAUGAUGCGAUCAUGAUGCGAUAAUGAUGGUGAUUAUGAGGGUUCUGCCUGGGGAACUGGAAAUAGUAACGUACCUGGUGAGUUCCAAACUCAAAGCCCAGCAGAGGCCAUUAUUUGACUAGCGUUGAUGUUGUGCAUGUGGUAGGGAUGGAAUAGAAGUGCCUUGUGUUUUAUCUCCUUGAUGUUUGCAAGCAUGACUUUCUGAAAUGUUUUAAUCCAGCUUAUACCGGUGCCACAGAGGUUUUGUAGAAAUCCUGUGUACGUUAGGUUUCAAUGAGUAUUAUAGCUAUGUGCUUAGUGCCCGAGGUUGAGCAAAGAAAGGCAGUUAACUUCAGUAACUUGAGACCUUUUCAAGCUGUCAGGGUAGCCUGAUAUAUUUAUUACCUCUAGCACCAGCAAAGAUGUCAGGCGAUCCUGUUUGUCUCCCUAGAGCGCGAAGGAAAAGAGGACCCUCCUGUCCUGUACUGUACCGGAUCUAGAGGAUGCCAUUGGAACUUCCCUUGUGAAAUGUAGUCUGCUCUGGGGCCUUCUAGUCAGCAGUUUUAUUUAUACAUAAUCAGAAUCUCUGUUGGGGAGGAUCGACCAUAAACUCACUUGUCAUUUCUUUAGAAGAAGAAAACUCUACCUGUCGGAUGCCAAUUCUGUGCUGUUCUUUUGGUCUGUAGCACAGGGCAGGCUCCGAGUAAUAGUGAAAGAUGACUAGCUUAUUAUCACGAUUUUUCUUUUGUGAGUUUAAUAGUAAUACACAAGUAGGUGGUUUAGAACGUUAUACACGUUUGAUGAUGGAGCCCUAAGAGACCGUUUUCUGAUGGUGGUCGUGGCUUAUGACCUCUUCUGGGCCAUGCCCUUGGCGCUCUCUCUCCUGCUGACAUGGGUGAGUGGGUCAGGGUUCAGCAGACGUUGGCUUUCUGUGCCCCGUGUCAGCUCCGAAGUUCUGUGAGUCAGCAGUGGGAGUGGGGAGAGAGGAGGGCAUGUGGGGAGAGAGGAUAGGCAGUACCGAACAACCCCUGUGAUCCCAUCAGCCUGCCGUCUCUGAUUUUGAACAAAUCUCUUUACUUCUCCGGGUUUUGAUCUUCAGCUAAUAUGUGGGUCAAUUAAAUGAAAAGGUCUUAAAAACGUAUGAUCGAGGACCUUUCGGAGAUGCCGAUUAAUAGUAUGAAAAAUAAAUUUUAAAAACGGACAUGUGCACAAAUUAGCAGAUACCUAAGUAUAAGGAAAAGUCUAGACCUCUCUUUUCAAAGCUUUUUAUUGAAGAAUAAUCAAAAUAGUGUUUACGUCAGGUACAUAGUAUAAUAAUUCCUGUCAACAAAUGUUAGACUCUUAGUGACUACAUUUCCUAUGCUGUAUUUUCAUCUCCAUGACUUAAUUACUUUGUAACUGUAAGUUUAUCCCUCUUCAAAAAAAAUUAAAAAAAAUUUUUUUUAAUGUUUAUUUUUGAGAGGGUGAGAGUGGGGGUGAGAGUGGGGGUGUGUCUCUCGGUGCACAGAGAGACACAGAAUUUGAAGCAGGCUCCAGGCUCUGGGCUGUCAACACAGAGCCCGACAUGGGUCUCAAACCCACGAACUGUGAGAUCAUGACCUGAGCCGAAGUCGGACGCUCAACAACUGAGCCGCCCAAGCGCCCCUAAUGUUUAUUUUUGAGAGCACAAGUAGGGGAAUGGCAGAGACAGGGGGACAUAGGAUCUGAAGAGGGCUCUGCACUGACAGCAAGAGAGCCCGACAAGGGGCUCAAACUGGGACGUUUAACUGACUGAGCCACGCAGGCGCCAUUAGAAGUUUAUCCCUCUUAAUCCCCUUUAUCUGUUUCUCCCACUCCCUAUCAACUCCCUUCUGGCAACCACCGGUUUGUUCUCUGUACUGAAGAGUCUGGUUUUCUUGUUCUUCUUGGUUCAUUUAUGUUUCUUAAAUUCCACAUAUGACUAAAAUCAUAUGGUAUUUGUCUUUCUCUGGCUUCUCCCACUUAGCAUAACACGCUCUAGGUCCAUCAAUGUCGCUGCAAAUGGGAAGAUUCCUUUUUUUUUGUUUUUUGGAUGUUUAUUUCUGAGAGACAGAGCAUGAGUGGGGGAGGGGCACAGAGAGGGGUACACAGAAUCCGACGUAGGGUCCAGGCUCUGAGCUGUCAGCACAGAGCCCCGAUGUGGGGCUUGAACUCAUGAACUGCGAGAUCAUGACCUGAGCCAAAGUUGAACGCUUCACCGACCGACCCACCCAGGUGCCCCAACCACAUUUAAACAAAUCUAACAAACGUCCUAGAAGCUUGCAACCGUACAAAAAGGACAGAGAUACCUGUAGUUGAAUUACUUGUGCUUGAUUAGAGGAAGUAAGUAUUAGGAGCAGGGAAGAACUAUUCCCUCAGAAUACUGUGAACUGCCUGUUUAUAUCCUUUGCUCUUUUUUCUUUUCAUUUUGCUGUUUCUUUCUUAUUUUUCUUAAUUUUCUAACGUUUAUUCAUUAUUGAGAGACAGAGGGAGACAGAACAUGAGCACGGGAGGGGAAGAGAGUCAGUUGCGCAUAUGUAGCUGCCGUCUCGGUGUGUCCACCGGAUGAGGGGAGAUCAGGAUCCUCCUACUCUGCCAUCUCCCCGACCUCCUUUGCGUCUCGGAUCUCUCUCUGAAGAGCACCUCUACUUCGGGUGCUUGAUUUCACUUCCGACUUUACAGCUCUGUCAUUCUAGUGCUUUCUAUCACUCAAGUCACACAGGCCCCUACCUGAAACCCUCCAACCAUUUCCCACUGAAAUUAGAAUAACAGGGGCACCUCAGUGACUCAGUCGGUUGAGCAUCUGACUUCGGCUCAGGUCAUGAUCUCACUGUCCAUGAGUUGGAGCCCCAUGUCAGGCUCUGUGCUGACAGCUCAGAGCCUGCUUCGGAUUCUGUGUCUCCCUCUGUCUCUCAAAAAUAAACAUUAAAAAAUCAGAAUAACAGAAAUUCCCAAACAUGGUUACAUGAAUAAAAUCUAGCUACUCUUUGCCCCUCACACGGAGCUUUUGGCUAUGCCAACUGAAGUUUCACUUGUCAUUGUCAGUGAGUAGGUCUGAUGAAUAUUUUCAAGUCUUUGAGCAACCAUUAUUUUGACAUUUUGAAUACAACAGCAAUGGGAAAUGCAUAACAUAAUUUGAAGAUAAUAAGUAGGGUACAAAUGAAAAACAAGAAUACAAUUUGUAGACCUGUUCUACAACGUGAUGUCAUGUUUGACGCUACAACCCCCAGACAGGAAAAGAAACCUCAAAGGAGAUGGUCACUGGUAAUUGACAGAAAAGCCUGCAGGGGAUCACAUUCCUGGGUACGUCCACAGCUAUUAUCUUCAUAAUCAGAAGGAUCUUCAUCAGAUACUCUAUUAUGGAGAAGUCCCUUGUGAUAGGAGAUCAGUUGUGAUCUGAGAACUGUGAGGGGGGGUGGGAAAUAAGGUGACCUGAAAAGCCUUGGCCAGUAAUUCUCCAGCUGUCCAAACAACUGGAGGUGCACAGAAUGCACAGGUCUUAUUUUUGUAAAGGAGAAGGGGGCUAGCAUCUAGCUAGGGAUAGUGGUUUGGUUAAAUGAACAUAUUUCUCAUAAAAGAGCACCACUGAGUUGUUGAAAGAUUGUAUCAGAAGGUUUGGUGCAGAAUGGGCUGGUACAUUCAAGUAGGAAUAUCCAAAAGUCUUGGCAUAAUGGAGAUGGGACAGUUGAAAAGAUUUCUAUUAGAACAGGUGGAAGAUACACAAUUUGUAAAGAGGAAAUCAUAUAAAGGGAAGGGGUGGGUUUCCAUUUUUUGCUAACCCAUUGACCCAGGAGGUAGGUGGUCAGCAUAAAACAUGGAAGGUUUUCUUUUUUCUAUUUUUAUUAUUUUCUGAGAGAGAGAGACAGGGAGUGAGCAGGGGAGGGGCAGAGAGAGGGAAACAGAAUCUGAAGCAGGCUCCGAGCUGUCAGCACACAGCCCAAUGCAGGGCUUGAACCCAUGACCCACAAGAUCAUAAACUGAGUGGAAGUCGGACGCUUAACCGACUGAACCACCCAGGCGCCCCAACAUGGAAGGUUUUCUUAAGGCAAGAACAUCCUUACGUUGAAAGUGAUGGGAGGGAUGUGUUUUGCUGUAACUAAUGGAAAUAUUUGGAGGUAUAAACUAUUUAUAGGUUAACAUUACAGGGUAUUAUUACCAAUAAAAGACCUGGUAGGAGUGUGGUGACAAAUCCAACAGUCAGAAAGGUUUCCAGAAGCAACAAGGGAUUGUGACACUUGAAUUAUAGCAUUGUUUUCCCAAUCAAAAGUGGAAAUGGAAGAGAAAGAAGCCUCAUGAGGAUUGGUAUGAUGAAUCUUGUGAACAUAAUACUGGCCUGCUCCCGAGUCUUGUGAGAGGAGUCUCUGAAGAUGUCAUCUGCUUCACUUUCCAAGAAAGGGUUAGUUUGAGGUCUCCUGUUGGUUUGGUGGUCCAGUCAGAUGUUGAAGCCUCUUUAAAAUGAAAAACAUGAACCCGUGAGCCUGUGCCUUUUAAUUUAGCAGCACAAUGAUUGGUCAAUAGUACCUGGUAAGAUCCCCUCUCGCAAGGCUGGAGGGAAUCUUUAUGGAGAGCUUUCCGAUAAACCAUGUCUCCAGGCUGAAGGUCAUGAUGUUUGAUGUCUUUAUCUCCUAGGAGUGCACUGUGAAGACUGUUCUACCAAUUUCUCACUUCUUUGAAGGGGCUAUAUCAACCCCUUAGAAGUCAUCAUCUUACCUUUAAGUAAAAGUUUGGUUCAUAUGCAUCUUGAUCUAAUCUCAUCAGUCUUCCAAUAUUCUUUCAAAGGGUGAGAGUUAGAUCUACUCCCAGUGGGAGACACAAAGAUUCAGUAGUACCAAGGGAAAGGCUUUUGGCCAUGGCAAGUGGGAAAAAUCCCAAAGUUUCGCUAGUUAGGUUUUUAUAAUGCCAUUGGUUCACUAUAAAAGGCUGCAUGAUGGAGGAUGGAUAGGCACCGUAGAAAUGGUGCAUAAUUGGCUAAAGGUGGCAAAUGGCCUAUACUAUCUAUCCAGUGAAAUGGGUCUCUCAGUUACUAUGAAGUUCCAAGGGUAUUUUCCCCAAUUGGGAAUAAUCUUUUCCAACAGGAUUUUUCCUAUUGCUUCAACUGUAGCUCUGUGUCAAGGAAAGGCUUCUAUCCACUGAGCAUACAAACCGUUACUAAAACAUAUUUCUACCUUUGCGAUGGCACCAGCUAGAUGAAAUCCAAUUGCCAUAUCUCAAAAGGGCCCAGAGGGUAAGGGAAAAUGUCCCUUUGAACUAUGAAGGGGCUUCCAGAGUUAUGUUUGGGGCAAAUCCGACAUUCUUUAUAACACUGGGGGGCUAUUUCUAGAGAUGGUUUCCAAAAAUAUUGUUUUCCCAAAGGACGAUCUUGCCAAUAUUUCAAUGGGGUAAGUUCAUGAAUCCAAUUAAGAAUGGAAUGGGUUCCUGGAUGGGGCACCCAGGACUCAGCACUCCUACUGGGUGUUUAUCUGAAGGAAAUAAAGUCACUAUCUUGAAGAGAUAUUUGCACACCCAUCUUCAGUGGAGCCUUAUUCACAAUAGCCAAAGCUUGGAAACAACCUAGGUGUCCAAUGGUAGAGGAAUGGAUAAAGAAAAUGUGAUACACAAACAAUGGAAUAUCAUUCUGUCCUAGAAAAGAAGAAAAUCUGAUCAUUUACAACAACAUGGAUGAAAUUUGAGGGCACUGUGCCAAGUGAAAUAAAAUCAAACAGGGAAAGAGCAAUACAAUAUGAUCUCACUUAUGUGGAAUCUAAAAACUAAUUCAAAGAACAGUAGACUAGUGAUGGGCGGGGCGGGGGAAGGGAGUAAAGGUGGUCCAAGGGUGCAAACUUCCAGUUAUAAAAUGAGUAAGUUCUGGGGAUCUAAUGUACUGCAUGGUGACUAUAAUUAACAAUACUGUACUGUAUACAUGAAAGUUGCUGAGAGAUAUUUAUUUUUUAAUGUUUACCCAUUUUUGAGAGACACAGAUAAGCAUAAGUGGGGGAGGGGCAGAGAGGGAGACACAGAAUCUAAAACAGGCUCCAGGCUCCGAGCUGUCAGCACAGAGCGCGACGCAGGGCUCGAACCCACGGACCGUGAGAUCAUGAUCUGAGCUGAAGUCAGACACUCAACCGACUGAGCCACCCAGGCGCCCCUGAAAGUUGCUGAGAGAUCUUAAAAGUUCACACCACACACACAGAAAAGGUUACUGUGUAAUGGUGAUGGAUAUGUUAACUAACCUUAUUGUAAUUAUUUCAUGAGCUAUACAUAUACCAAAGAUAUACACAUAUCAAAUCACGUGGUACACCUUAAAUGUACCCCCAUGUUAUAUGUCAAUUAUAGCUCAAUAAAGCUGGGGAAAAAAUAGAUCGUAAUAGCCCUCCUCUUUCUGGUGAGGGAGAGAGAGACACUUUUUACCGAUGGAAAUUUCCUUUACAAAAGAAAGCUUGUGCUGUUUUAGAAGCAUUUCCUAUGUUGGCUGGUUCUCAAUGGCCUUGAGCUUAAAAUAGUCCCUAUUCCAAAGAAGCCUACUUUGGGGUGUUUCAUGAUGAUUUGAAAAAUUGGGUCCAUGGUAUUUCCUUUGAAAAAGCAAAGCCCCAAUAAUUUUAGUAAUUCCAGAAGCUCUGUAUACCUCUUUAAAUCUAAACUACUAUCUGUAGGUGGUCAUGUAAAGUUAUGUAUGAUGAAAGAUCCCAUUAUACUUAAAAUCAUUAUUAGGAAGUCUAAGCUCCAAGACAUUUGAUCAGUCACUUAAACUUUUGGAGUUUGGUAACUCUUCUGUAAAUAGUGAGAUGAAAGUACUCAUCCUAUCUACAUUAAGUUCAAGUGUUUUUAGGUUUAUUUACUUUGAGAGAGAGAGGGAGGGAGCAUGGGUGGGAGGAGCAGAGAGAGAGGGAGAGAGAAAACUGGAGCAGAUUCUACGGUGUCGGCGCAGACGCCGAUGCGGGGCUCAAUCCCACAAACUGAGAUCAUGACCUGAGCCGAAAUCAAGAGUCAGACACUUAACUGACUGAGCCACCCAGGUGCCCCUCUACGUUACAGGGUCCUAAUGAGGAUCAAAAGUAAGGCAAAAAUUUUGAUAAGCAUUGUCCCUUUGCAAAUGGAUGUUACUUAUCAUUAGUUAUUGGUAUUAGAAAAUAGCUCAGUCAUCAAUGUUGUAAGACGGACUCUUGGUGCUCCCUUAGGGAUCAACCCAUGACCUUGUAUUGUCCAUAUUUGAACCAACUAGUCUAACAGCCCAUACCAGAUAGACUAAUUCUCCUUUGCAUAUGUUUGUCACGAAAUCUAGGUUUUCAUUAUUUUGGAACACUAUUUCACAAGGCCUUUGAUGAGGAGGCCAACUCUCCUAGUAUGAAAGUAUUAGCAGUAGUCACUAUGGCGGUGCCUGGGUGGCUCAGUUGGUUAAUUGUCUGGACUCUUGAUUUCAGCCCAGGUCAUGAUCUCAGUUGUGUGAUCGAGCCCCACGUCAGGCUCUAUACUGACACUGUGGAGCCUGCUUGGGAUUUUAUACCUCUCUGCCCUUCCCCUACUUGCUCGCCUUCUCUCUCUAAAGAAGCAGUCAUUAUGUAGUUUAGAAUGAUCACCAUGGGGCGCCCGGGGUGGCUCAGUCAGUUUAGCGCCUGACUUUGGCUCAGAUUAUGAUCUCACGGUUUGGGAGUUCGAGCCCUGCGACGGGCUCUGUGCUGACAGCCUGGAAACUGGAGCCUGCUUGGAUUCUGGGUCUCAUUCUCUCUCUGCCCCUCCCCCACUUGUGCUCUGUCUCUCAAAAAAUAAAAAAAAAAUGCUCAUCAGAUAUCUAUACAAGUCCUUUGCACGUAGUGUUAUAUCACUGAAUGCUGAUAAAUUAAUAAGUGGUAUAUAAUCUAUAUGUCUUAUAAUCUAUGUCUUAAGUGUCUAUUACUAUGCAUUCUGGGCUGCAUAUUCUAUGACAAGUAUUGGAAGAGUGGCUUAUUUAUAUCGUAGGAACACGGACUUGGAGGUUGCUCGUGAAUCCCAGGACCUCCACCGCAUCUACAGGCAAGAGGGGCAUCCCCACCACCAGCUCUACCAGCACCACCUCUAACUGCAGGAAUUGCUCCUCCAAGUCCUUGGCCUCUACUACAUGGUAUCCACCGCCAUUGCCUUUGUUGGGGGAUCGGUGAUCCAUAGUCACACCACCCGCUCUGAAUUAUGAAAUGGAAGUACAAAUAAAUGUAUAAACCUG
rnacentral:lncRNA from 1 species